rnacentral:rRNA from 1 species
GACGAACGCUGGCGGCGUGCUUAACACAUGCAAGUCGAACGGUGAAGCGCCUUCCUUUUGGGUGGGGGUGAUGAAGUGGGGACGGGUGGGGAACACCGUGGGAACCCUGCCCCUUCUUUUGGGUAACCGGAUUGAAAGGGUGCUAAUACGGGGUAUUCUGGGUUUGUUGGCUGAUGGGUUUGGGGAAAGUAAUUGUUUGGUGGGGGGUGGGGUCGCGGCCUAACAGCUUGUUGGGGGGGGGAUGGCCUACCAAGGCGGGGACGGGUAGCCGGCCUGAGAGGGUGGACGGUCACACUGGGACUGAGACACGGCCCAGACUCCUACGGGAGGCAGCAGUGGGGAAUAUUGCACAAUGGGCGCAAGCCUGAUGCAGCGACGCCGCGUGAGGGAUGGAGGCCUUCGGGUUGUGAACCUCUUUCGCCAGUGAAGCAGGCCUGCCUCGUUUGUGGGUGGGUUGACGGUAGCUGGAUAAGAAGCGCCGGCUAACUACGUG